CUUGCAUUAAAAAAAAAGUAAUAAAUAAGGUAUUAAGAUUAAAACAUGAAAAAAAAGAACAAAUAAAAUCUCAAACACAUUUUCUAAAAGAUAUAUCAUAUUCAUAAAAUCAUCACAUUUUUACUUGAAAAAAAAAAUAUUCUUCAACCAAUAUACAAACAAAGUUAAAUAAAAACAUAAUAUUUUUUCUUCUCCUCCUUUCUUUUCUCUUUCUCCACUGCUUCUGCUCCCUUGUGCCACUCUCCCCUCAAUUCUCUCUCUCAAGGAUGACCAUGGCAGCAUGGUGAGGGCCACGCCCCACCAAUCACCUUUUUCCUUUUUUUACUUUUCCUAUUCUGUUUUUUUAAUUCAUUUUAUAUUUUUAUUUUUAUUUUUAUUAUUACAAAAUAAA
rnacentral:lncRNA from 1 species